CCGUACUACAUUUUUUUUUCAGAAGCAGAAAAGAAGGGAAUGGUGGAAUAUGUAUUUAUCUCCAGGAUUAAAUGUGCUAACAGAUGCAAAUUGCCUAGGAUCCUAUAUGGGGUCUAUAAAUAGUAGUUCCCUUAUCUUUUCUCUGAAUUCCAUUCCGUAAUUUCUGCUGUUCCAGGAGCACCGGAGGAGACCCAUCUCCCCUGCAGACUGAAGAGAGAUUUCUUUUGAAGUGAGUUGGAUGGACGAAAAUUCUGGAUGGGUUCAAAGAUCAAAUGGUGACUAUUCUACAAAAUUAUCGUUUAGGAGAGGGCUGCUUGGAGAAGGAGCCGAGACCUUUUAUCAGAAGACACAGCCACCCUGAGGCGAUCUGGCAGGGAGAGAACUGGGGGAAUGAAUAAAUCCUUGAAGCUCAUUCUCCUUCUGCUCUGCAGUUCCUGCUGCCGCCUCCCAUCUUCCGUACCAGAAAGGAAGCUGGAGGGCCAAGGAGCCGGUCCACGCAGUCCAGAUGGGUUUUGACAGGUUAGCACCCCGGGGUA